CUAAAACCCCCUUUCCCAAAUUCGUUUCUGCCUUCUCUCUAGCCUCCACACUGAUUUAGCCAUUGCAUGUUCUGUUAGGUGGUACCCUAGCGACCGUCUCGUAGAGAGCUUUAAAACCAUCCGAUUGAUUUUACGUUCUUCAACCGUAGGUGAUGAUGUACCUUUGGAGCAAGCUUUGGAAGUUGAGGAAGACCCAGCCCCUAGUGCUUAGGAUUUCUACAAGCUCUUAUUUUAAACAGCUCUUUAUUUUGAAAGACUUCUA
rnacentral:sRNA from 1 species